CUUGUACACACCGCCCGUCACACCAUGGGAGCGGGUACUGCCAGAAGUAGUUAGCCUAACCGCAAGGAGGGCGAUUACCACGGCAGGGUUCGUGACUGGGGUG
rnacentral:rRNA from 1 species